UUGAGAGUACCAGAGAGAGAGAGAGUCUCCCUGCUUUGAGUUCCUGUGCCUGGUCCUACAGCAGCCCUUGGCUGCCAAGAGAAGAAAUUGCCAGAUAAGUCUUGUUCAGUCCCUGCAACCCUGAGCUGUAGCAUAUUCAAUCACUCCAAUCAGCAUGUAAGAGCUGUGACGUGAUGGAGCGUGAUCAGGACAGACAGAAUUGUCAAAGAAUUUAGGUGCAAACUCUAGGCGAUUUUUCCCCUCCAGUGAGGGCCUGUGGAUCUCAAAGCCAAGUUUGUGGGGGUGAUCAUUCUCCAGUCUUCACCUAGCAGCUCAAAGGCAGCAGCUGGGACCAGAGUCCAUGAAGCGCAACUGGGGCUCAAGUCUUACCCCUACGGUUUGAUUGGGAGAGGUCCAAGGAUCCUGAUUGGGCCGCAGUCCCUGUUUAAGCCAGAGGAGGAAACAGGAAGUUCCCAAAGUAUUCUGAAUACUCCUAAGGGGCCACAUUCAUCAAAGAUUCUGGAAUUUCUAACUACCUAAUCAAAUUUGCUCAGAAUUUAACAGUUCUGCAAGAUCAACCUACAUUUGAAAAUCAAG